rnacentral:rRNA from 1 species
UACGUAGGGCGCAAGCGUUGUCCGGAAUUAUUGGGCGUAAAGAGCUCGUAGGCGGCUUGUCGCGUCGACCGUGAAAACUUGGGGCUCAACCCCAAGCCUGCGGUCGAUACGGGCAGGCUCGAGUUCGGUAGGGGAGACUGGAAUUCCUGGUGUAGCGGUGAAAUGCGCAGAUAUCAGGAGGAACACCGAUGGCGAAGGCAGGUCUCUGGGCCGAUACUGACGCUGAGGAGCGAAAGCGUGGGGAGCGAACAGG